AAGUCGUAACAAGGUUUCCGUAGGUGAACCUGCGGAAGGAUCAUUAUCGAGUUUUGACUGGGUUGUAGCUGGCCUCCCGAGGCAUGUGCACGCCCUGCUCAUCCACUCUACACCUGUGCACUUACUGUGAGCUUCAGACGUCGUGAAGCGGGCUCUUUACGGAGCUUGUAGAGCGUGUCUGUGCCUGCGUUUACCACAAACUCUAUAAAGUAUUAGAAUGUGUAUUGCGAUGUAACGCAUCUAUGUACAACUUUCAGCAACGGAUCUCUUGGCUCUC
rnacentral:misc_RNA from 1 species